UAUUUAUUUUGUCAUACUUAGAAAUAUUUUAUUCAUUUAUAUAAAAUAUCUAAAGAAAUCAUCCAGAAGAGGGGUUAGCUGACUGACAUUGGGUGAUAAAAUUUGUUCUUCAUGAGUUUCAUGAUGUGCUAUGUUGGCUGUUUACAUGGUCUAUUGCCUGCUACUAAAAACUAUUACCUAUAUACAUGAAUUUGCAGGGCAGUAUUUAAAGCAAAAAAAAGUGUGGCUACAUUUGCAAGAGAAAUGUAUUACAUGAUUAUAUAUCAAUAGAUUGAUACAGAAGUAGGGAUAUUACACAUUAGUAUUUGAUAUAUAACACAGAUUUAUAGAGAAAUGUAGUUCUCAAUCACAUGCUUUUAUGGAAAACCUGUCCUACUAAAUCACCAUCUUGGCUCACUCCGUACACCUGACCCCUCUAUUUCCAGUCUCAUCUAGCUUAACAAAACUGAGCAUACAUCGUUAGUUUGAAAAUGUUCUGGCUUACAUUUUAACACAGAAUACUUUGAAAGUAUUUAAUAUUUCUCAAGAUUUAGAAAGCUCUUUUUUCUUGUUUAUUUUUUCGCUUGAAAGAAGAAACUUUAAUUAUAUUUCCUCUGAAUCAACAGGACUUUUCAGCAUUUUUGCAGAAACACGGUCCUAAAUUUUGAAAUAGGAAUCUUAACAGUGUACUGCCAUAUUAUUAUUCUAAAAUUAGAAAAUCCUACUUUUGAAGCCAGGAGAACAAAUUAGCCCACUGACCAUUUUUGGUUGCUUGUUUUUUCUAAAGCUUGACAAGUGUGUUUAUGUGUGAUUUUAGACUUUUUCUGUAGUUCUGCUCCAAUUCUGCCCAAUUACCUACAGAGAAGUACUACUGAAUCACUUUUAUUGAGUCCAGCUGCUUACAAUAUCAGAUGGCUCUAUCCCCUCUUCCUGUAGCUGUUCUUCCCCUAAUGGAGUUUCCCAAAACUUACCAAAAACAAGGCACUACAAAAUCUCCCCUUAACGUUCCUCAGCCUCUCAUCUCUCCUGUUUUUGUGCUCCACUGAUAGAAAAUAUUCUUAAUUAUCUUCUGUGUUUUAUAAUAUUUUCUUACAUCUUAAUCCAUGUGCAAAUGAAUAAUACUCUUCAACACAAUUUAGCAAUUUAGCAACUUCUACCUUUAGGCAUGUAUUAAGGUUAUUUUUGUAUUAAUAACUUAUCAUUUUUCAAAAUGGAGAAUGGCACCACCAGCAGAGAGCACACUGGAACCUCAGAACAAAAGAAAACAGAAAAUCAAUAACAUAUUUUAACAAUGUCUGCCUGAAACACAUAAAAAAUACUUCUGAAAUACAUCAGUAAUGUGUAUGUUGAGAGAUUUUGUAAUUUAAAUUAAUACCACUUAAAAAAACCAAACCACUUAAGUUACCUAUUGUUUAUUCCAUUUCAGAUUGUACUCAAUUUUCUAAUUCAAAUAAACAACACAAAAAAAAAUCAACCUUACUACCCAAACCAAAACCUAAAUGCAUUUUUAUUUGGGAUGCAUGGUUAGACAAAAGCUUUAACAAAUUACAUGAUGCAUUUUAGAAGACAGAUUGUGUUCAUUUGCUGAACUUAGAGAAACCUUUGGGUUGACAGAUAAUCAAUUCAAAUACCUACAGCUGAGGGAUUGUAUUACUAAUUCCUUUUACAAGCCUUCCCUUUUGGAUACAGGCAAAUAAACGUGUUUUCAUUGCCAAGGAAUUGACCACACCAGCAGAUACAGCCUUUCAGGUAUGGUUGCUGUCUUGCAAUCCAGCCUAUGAACAUCUGCCAAGUGCUUCCUCCACUCCUUCUCCAUUCAAACUGGUGUUAAGCUCAACAUGAAUAUGUGGACCUUGCCCCUUUAUCUGACAUCUGCCAUCAAGCAUGAGAGUACAGGCUUUUUUGGGCUAGGACAUCAACUUCUGUUUCUUUGAAUCUACUUAGGAAGUGUUUCAACAUGCAUGGGACUGCCAUCAAAUGCUAAGCUUUACAGUCAACUCCUAGUUGGCCGUUAACCAAAACAGUCAGUCUAAAACAUGGAAGUAUAACUAUCAAGUAUUAGGGUUGUAUUUCAUAGGCUUUGCUCAAACAUCAGCAGUACUAUUCCUUGGGUAUGAUAGUUGAACCGUUUGGACACUGUGUCUGUAUUUUUGCCUGUAUUUCAUAUAAACUAAUUGUUUGUUCUUAAACAGGCUAUCAGAAAUCUUUCCUUCAGCCCACUGUCAUUAAACCCCCCUCAAUAAUACACAACCUAGCUCAUUGCAUAAAUGGCAGUGUGUACGCAAUGUAGCCUCUAUGACACAAUAAAGUAUAUAAUGGGGAGUAGUUCAGUUACACUGCACAAGACAGGAGAAUUAUAAUCUGAUAUAAUUAAUAGGUGCAUGUUUUUCACCAGGGACAGAGAUCAAAAUACUCAAUUUGCCAGAUUUAAACUACUAAUGUUGCCAAGACACAUAUUCUAGGAAAGAGGGGCCACAAAGUAUUAAGGCUUCACUCCCUUGAUCCAAAAACUCUGUGCCCUUUUUAUAACCUUGGACUGAGAUCAUGCAUUAUUUUUUUUUAUUCCAAACUUGCCUUCUUUUAGAAAGAGCCCUUAAAGGCUUAUGAUCUUAUUCAAGAUCCAGAAGAACAGGAGGAACAGUUCCUUAUUUAGUAUAAUCUGAGACUGGCAAAAUUUAAUAGGGAGUAGGAAAUCAUCAAAGGACAUGUUCUGGGGAAGGUUUGAUAUGUGUAUGUCGUUAAUGUUUGGUUAACAUUCUUGCAAAAUAAAAAGCAAACAAAAAAAUGGAGAUGAGCAUUUCCUGGAUCUGAAUAACAUGUCAAUGCAAUGCCCAUGAAUGGAAUGGAUAGCUUUGGAUUUUCAUUUCAAACUUUGCAGUUUGUAGCUGAGUUUAUGAACUUAAAUAACACCCUAGUGAAAUUUCUUACAUCAUUUUAAAGUCUGCAUUCAAUUCCAUGAUCUCAGCUCCUUGCAUUAAACACUGUGUUGUUUGGUUGUUUUACAGACAAAAAAGUGGGGAUCAUCCCUUAAACUGCUUUAUAAAGAGAGGCACACAGUAGUCUCACAGGAACAUUAGAGCUACUAUUUCUUACUAGAGUUACCAUUUCUUAUGGCUCCAAAAGAAGUUCUACAUGUUAAAGACUUGGAGGAGAAGAUUCAAAGCCAGAAGAAAUGUUUCAGAAAUAGCUGGGGGUAGUGUGCAAGAAUAAGGAGCCUUCUGCAGCCAGGAGAAAUCCCUGCAGCAGGGUUGAACAGCAAUAGCAGACUAUGGAGACUGCAAUGUUAUUUCUGUCUCUCCACCAAGCUGGUUAGACACCUAACAAAGCAAUUCCAGUGGUGGAACCAAGGAUCUACUCAAGCUCCUGGUAGAAAUGGAGCACCUCCUGCCCCUGGAUGCAGCAUUGAAACCACGGGCACACCAUGCUGCCUUCCUGACCACUCCUCCCCUCUCGCUGCAGCAGCAAGUUUUGCUCACUGAUCACCCUAUAUGCAAGCUUUUAGGAAGAAUUUUGUUCUUCUAGCAUGCAAUUGAAGAAGAAUCAAAAAACCUUUACAAAGACACUGCAAUGACUUUUUGAAGGUAAGGCAGCUGAAAAAAGAGCCGUGGAAACAGGUUACAUUUUAUCAGUGAAAAAAAGGGAAAGAACCCUCCAGCUGGAAGAUGAUAAGUAAUAAAAUGCUCACUGUAGAGCUGUAAGCAUUUGAGAACCUCUAAGAGCCAGCUACAGAGAGGCUUUCUGGAAAAAGUCCCAUGAGAGUUCUUCAAAUGCAGAUUGAAUAUGAGCCUGAGGACAGGGAGAUGGUCAGCUGCCUCUGAAAAGCCAGGAAAAGCUGUUAAGAUGAACUAGGAGCUGGAUUCUGAGAAGGCCUGGUUUCAUGAUGAAAGGAAGGCUUCAACUGCCAGCAGUCCAAAAGUCUGACUUACAGGAAAACACACAUUUGAAUUUCUCUCCACCAGUCAAGUUUUUGCUCUUGAAAUAAGGGCCACCUGAUGCUGUCGAGAAAGACUCCUGAAGGAGACCCCCAGGAAAUGGCCUCAGCCCAAAUUCAGCACUAAACUGCUCCAUCUCACCUGACUAAGUGGCCAGUCACUGGGGAUGUUGCCCUGUGGCUUCAGCAGCAGGGCUCUGCUGUUUCAUGUCAGAGACACCAGCCAGGAAAUGGGGUGGGAGCGAGGAGAUCGGGAAAUAGGCAGAGGAGAACAUGGAGGCACGGAACACAGACCCAUAGAAAAUGAGGCUUUGCUAGCUCUGCUGUUGUUGGAACAGCGUGUUGCUCAUCUACUUAGGCUAUUGCGCCAUCAGAGGUGUAUGGGGAAAGAAAUCAGGUAAGAUAAUUUUUAUUCACUGUGCCAUACUUACCUGUUUUCCUAUUAUUCUUUUGUUUGUUGUAGUUUUUUACCAGUUUGUCUGAUACUGUAUUAAAUAUAUUCCUCUGUACCUCCCAAGAUCAUCCUUGGACUUCUUUGAAAUAAACAUGAUCCCACGUCAGCAAAGACAUUUCCUGUCUCAGUUGGAACCAGAUGUCUCUCAGUUGUUUUUAUACUUAAGGAGGAUUUAAGUGAAUGUAUUGAGAACUGUUAUUGUUUUAAAUACAAUGCUCUUUAACAACUAGAAUUUUGCAAUAAAUGCAGCAGAAACAGAUCCAUAAAAUAACAAAAAUAUGUUUGUGUGACAAGUCAGGAAAAGCAGUAAAAUUUUGUGUACUUCCUAUGCAUAUGUGUAAUUGCAAAACACAUCAUGAUGCAGGGGACCUAUCUGUAUGUUGCUCAUAAGAGGUCUUGUAGAGGAGAAACUUAAUAAAAUAGUUAAACUAAA